GUUGCUGAAUAUGAAAGUGGUGAAUUGCAUCCUGGUGACCUGAAACCUUCUCUGGCUAGAGCAUUGAAUAAGAUAUUGCAGCCUGUACGUGACCAUUUCAAAAAUGAUGCUGAUGCUAAGGAUCUGUUGAAACGGGUUAAGGCUUACAGAGUAACAAGGUGAUGUGGAAGAACAUAGCUACUUUGGUUUGUCAUGCAAAGGAAGAGGUUAUGACGCUGCCAUUAUUAAACUUAUACAAAAUUUGAAUUAUAUUGUUUAUUUUAAUGUGUUUU
rnacentral:misc_RNA from 1 species